CUACGGGAGGCAGCAGUGGGGAAUAUUGGACAAUGGGCGCAAGCCUGAUCCAGCCAUGCCGCGUGAGUGAUGAAGGCCCUAGGGUUGUAAAGCUCUUUUGUGCGGGAAGAUAAUGACGGUACCGCAAGAAUAAGCCCCGGCUAACUUCGUGCCCGCAGCCGCGGUAAUACGAAGGGGGCUAGCGUUGCUCGGAAUCACUGGGCGUAAAGCGCACGUAGGCGGACUCUUAAGUCAGAGGUGAAAUCCUGGAGCUCAACUCCAGAACUGCCUUUGAUACUGGGAGCCUCGAGUUCGGGAGAGGUGAGUGGAACUGCGAGUGUAGAGGUGAAAUUCGUAGAUAUUCGCAAGAACACCAGUGGCGAAGGCGGCUCACUGGCCCGAUACUGACGCUGAGGUGCGAAAGCGUGGGGAGCAAACAGGAUUAGAAACCCGGGUAGUCC
rnacentral:rRNA from 1 species